AUGGCUAAGUUCUGGUGGGGGAGCUCUCUCGACAAGCGAUCAUCGCACUGGAUUGCGUGGGAUGAGCUGGCCACGCCUAAAUGUAAGGGCGGAAUGGGUUUCCGUGAUCUUCCGAUGUUUAACUUGGCUCUAUUAGGGAAGCAUGGAUGGCGCUUCAUGAUGAACCCUAACUCUCUACGUGCCAAGGUUAUGAAAGGGCGAUAUUUCCCAGACACCGAUUUCCUGCAGGCUACGUGUAAGGGCAUAUUUCUCCCUAAGUGGUUUUGGUGA
rnacentral:rRNA from 1 species